rnacentral:rRNA from 1 species
AGCUCAAAUUUGAAAUCUGGCUCUCGGGCCCGAGUUGUAAUUUGUAGAGGAUGCUUUUGAUGCGGUGCCUUCCGAGUUCCCUGGAACGGGACGCCAUAGAGGGUGAGAGCCCCGUAACGUUCGAUGCC